UACGGGGGGAGCAAGCGUUGUUCGGAUUUACUGGGCGUAAAGGGCGCGUAGGCGGCCAGCACAAGUCAGUUGUGAAAUCUCCGAGCUUAACUCGGAAAGGUCAACUGAUACUGUGCGGCUAGAGUGCGGAAGGGGCAACUGGAAUUCUUGGUGUAGCGGUGAAAUGCGUAGAUAUCGUAAGGAAGACCAGUGGCGAAGGCGGGUCUCUGGAAAGUUCCUGACACUGAGGCACGAAGGCCAGGGGAGCAAACGGG
rnacentral:rRNA from 1 species